CACCACAACAGGUGGAGCCUGCGGUUUAAUCGGACUCAAACGCCGGGAAACUCACCAGAUAAGACAGCUGAAUGAUAGUCGGGCUGAAGACUCUACUUGACUAGCUGAGAGGAGGUGCAUGGCCGUCGUCAGUUCGUACUGUGAAGCAUCCUGUUAAGUCAGGCAACGAGCGAGACCCACGCCAACAGUUGCCAGCUCGUCCUCCGGGAUGGUGGGGACACUGUUGGGACCGCCUCUGCUAAAGAGGAGGAAGGAAUGGGCAACGGUAGGUCAGCAUGCCCCGAAUUAUCUGGGCUACACGCGGGCUACAAUGGGUGGGACAAUGGGUAUCGACACCGAAAGGUGAAGGCAAUCUCCUAAACCCAUCCGUAGUUCGGAUUGUGGGCUGCAACUCGCCCACAUGAAGCUGGAAUCUGUAGUAAUCGUGUCUCAAAAUGGCACGGUGAAUAUGUCCCUGCUCCUU
rnacentral:rRNA from 1 species